rnacentral:lncRNA from 1 species
GUUGCUUCCUUCUCCCUGACAGCCAGGUACGGGGAAGGGAUUUAACCUCCUACUGGCACUUCGCAGCUUUCUCUUCCACAUAGGGUUUCAGUGCCGGUGUGUGGAGUUCAUUCCCAUUUUGCAGAUGGAAAAGAGAGCCACAUAGUUCAGAGGUGCCUACAGCUUUCUUCUGAAAAUCCAUCCUCCCUGAGCAGUGAUGCAGCAUGGGGCGCAGCCUAGCCCACCCUGCACUAAUCUGGAUUCACCCCUCCAUGUGUUCACACGUGCUAGACGUCAGUUGUGAGCAUGGGCAAGCAGCAAAUCUUCCUCUUCUUGGGAUAGCUUGCUGUUUUGGUGCUGGAUUACGCCUGAGAUUGGCUCUUGACUGUUCUUCCAGGGUAAAAGCAAGAGUUUGCAGAAGAUGGGCUGAAGCUUUCGCCGUGGUUCUGGAGGAUGCACAGGACUCCUUUCCAGCAAAGUGGUGCUUGGAAGGCUGUAAAUGAUCCACAAGGAAUUAACAGACAAAAGUCCCUGGCUCUGCUCCACCCUAUUGAAGGCAAUGGCAAAACUCCCAUUUACUUCAGUGGAAGUAACAAGUAAGGCCUGUGAGAGUAAAAAAUUAAUCAUUUUUACGAUCAGGGAUAUCUUUCUAAGUCUUGGUCUUUGUACUUUAUCUGACUGAGGUGUUUGGUGCUCGUGUGACAAAGAAGGGCAUAAACAAAUCACAAACAUCUCAGGUGAAAUACGGAUUCAUAAAAGGAAAAUUUAUAAAUCUGAAAGCUGUUGGUAAGCCUCACUAUUCAGACAAUAUUUUGGAAACCUGGACUCAAGUUCUGCCAACAAAAAAUACACUCGGUGUGUUUGAGAGGUUGACCUGACUCUCCAUCCAUCAUGUAUCCAGCAAGCA